rnacentral:lncRNA from 1 species
CUCGGUUAGGGCCUCACCGACCUGCUUCCACCCCUCAGGGAGGCCUCAGUGAUUCGGCCACAGCCUCAGCCUCCGUCGCUCUGUGACCUGCGGGUAUUGGAUGAUUCGUAGCUAAGACUCUACGACAUCCCUGAAGCCGGGAAAUGGUGUGUGUUCUCAUUUUACCCAAGAUCUUUGGCCAGUGCAGGGCAUAGAAGAUUCAUUCCACAAACUUAUACUGAGAAGAUAUGAGAAAUGUGGACAGAAGAAUUUACAAUUAAGGAAAGGCUCUAAAAGUGUGAAUAAGUGUAAGGUGCAGAAAGGAGGUUAUAAUGGACUUUACCAAUGCUUAUCAACUACCCAGAGCAAAAUAAUUCAGUGUAAUACAUCUGUCAAAGUUUUUCAUAAAUUUUCAAAUUCAAACAACAUAAGACAUACUGGAGAGAAAUCAUUUAAAUGUAAAAAAUGUGGCAGAUCAUUUCGCAAGUUCCUCCAACUAACUUAACAUAAGGGAAUACAUGCUGGAGAGAUACCCUACAAAUAAAUGUGAAGAAUGUGGCAAAGCCUUUAAUAGGUCCACAAGCAUUACUAAAUAUAAGAAAAUUCAUGCUGGAGAGAAACCCCUCAUGUGAAGAACGUGUCAGAAUCUUUACCUCAUCCUCAAGCUUUGACAAACAUAAGAGAAUUCAUACUGGAGAGAAACCCUACACGUGAAGAAUGUGGCAAAGCCUUGAGACAAUCCACAGUUCUGAAUGAACAUAAGAAAAUUCAUACUGGAAAGAAACCCUACAAAUGUGAAGAAUGUGGCAAAGCUUUUAGACAGUCCAGAAGCCUGAAUGAACAUAAGAAUAUGCAUACUGGAGAGAAACCCUACACGUGUGAAGAAUGUGUCAAGCUUUUAACCAAUCCUCAAGCCUUAUUAUACACAGGAGCAUUCAUUCUGAACAAAAACUUUACAAAUGUGAAGAAUGCAGCAAAGCCUUUACUCAAUCCUCAUCCCUUAAUAAACAAGAGAAUUCAUACUGGUGAGAAACCCUACACAUGUGAAGAAUGUGGCAAAGCCUUUUAUAGGUCCUCACACCUUACUGAACAUAAGAAUAUUCAUACUGGAGAGAAAUCCUACAAAUGUGAAGAAUGUGGCAACGCCUUUUAUAGAUCUUCACACCUUACUAAACAUAAGAGAAUUCAUUCUGGGCAAAAACCCUACAAAUGUGAAGAAUGUGGCAAAGCCUUUAGACAGUCCUCUGCACUGAAUGAACAUAAGAAAAUUCAUACUGCAGAGAAACCCUACAAAUGUAAAGAAUGUGGCAAAGCCUUUAGAUGGUCCAGAAGCCUGAAUGAACAUACGAAUAUUCAUAUUGGAGAGAAACCCUACACAUGUGAAGAAUGUGGCAAAGAUUUUACUUGGUCCUCAACCCUUACUGUACACCAGAGAAUUCAGACAGGUGAGAAACAUAGUUGAUAACAUAGUUGAAUGACAUUUCUAGUAAUAUGUUUCCUUUGGCUUUAAACAGCAAAUAAAGUGAAGAAUAUUGUUCCAUGUUCUUUUCUUUAUUUCUUAAAAUUUUUGUAGGCACAUAGUAUAUGUACAUAUUUCUGGCAUAUAUUAGUUAUUUGAAUACAGGCAUACACCAUGUAAUAAUCCAUCAGAGUAGGCCAGGCGCAGUGGCUCAUGCCUAUAAUCCCAGCACUUUGGGAGGCCAAGGCAGGCGGAUCACAAGUUCAGGAGGUCAAGACCAUCCUGGCUAACAUGGUGAAACCCCAUCUCUACUAAAAAUACAAAAAAAUAACUGGGCAUGGUGGUGAGUGCCUGUAGUCCCAGCUACUCAGGAGGCUGAGGCAGGAGAAUGGUGUGAACCCAGGAGGCAGAGCUUGCAGUGAGCCUAGAUAGCGCCACUGCACUGCACGCCAGCCUAGGCGACAGAGUGAGACUCCGUCUCCAAAAAAAGAAAAAAUCCAUCAGAGUAAAUGAGAUAUUCAUCACCUUAAGUAUUUAUUCUUUGUAUUACACAAGUCCAGUUAUACACUUUAUUUUUCAAUGUACAAUUAUUUUUUAC